rnacentral:misc_RNA from 1 species
GAUGAAGAACGUAGCGAAAUGCGAUAAGUAAUGUGAAUUGCAGAAUUCAGUGAAUCAUCGAAUCUUUGAACGCACAUUGCGCCCGCCAGUAUUCUGGCGGGCAUGCCUGUCCGAGCGUCAUUUCAACCCUCGCGCCCAUCUGGGCUGCGGUGUUGGGGACCGGCCUGCCCCCCGGGGCGCGCCGCCCCCCAAAUUCAGUGGCGGGCUCGCUGCAGCCUCCCUUGCGUAGUAGCACACCUCGCACCGGAGCGCAGCGCGGCCACGCUGUAAAACCCCCGACCCCCAUGAGUUUGACCUCGGAUCAGGUAGGAAUACCCGCUGAACUUAAGCAUAUCAAUAAGCGGAGGA